rnacentral:rRNA from 1 species
CCUACGGGAGGCAGCAGUGGGGAAUUUUGGACAAUGGGGGCAACCCUGAUCCAGCCAUUCCGCGUGAGUGAAGAAGGCCUUCGGGUUGUAAAGCUCUUUCAGCAGGAACGAAACGGCUCUCUCUAACAUAGGGAGUUAAUGACGGUACCUGAAGAAGAAGCACCGGCUAACUACGUGCCAGCAGCCGCGGUAAUACGUAGGGUGCGAGCGUUAAUCGGAAUUACUGGGCGUAAAGCGUGCGCAGGCGGCGCCAUAAGACAGAUGUGAAAUCCCCGGGCUUAACCUGGGAACUGCGUUUGUGACUGUGGUGCUCGAGUGUGGCAGAGGGGGGUGGAAUUCCACGUGUAGCAGUGAAAUGCGUAGAGAUGUGGAGGAACACCGAUGGCGAAGGCAGCCCCCUGGGUCAACACUGACGCUCAUGCACGAAAGCGUGGGGAGCAAACAGGAUUAGAUACCCUGGUAGUC